GGGUUGUGAGGUUAAGCGACUAAGCGUACACGGUGGAUGCCCUGGCAGUCAGAGGCGAUGAAGGACGUGCUAAUCUGCGAUAAGCGCCGGUAAGGUGAUAUGAACCGUUAUAACCGGCGAUUUCCGAAUGGGGAAACCCAGUGUGAUUCGUCACACUAUCAUUAACUGAAUCCAUAGGUUAAUGAGGCGAACCGGGGGAACUGAAACAUCUAAGUACCCCGAGGAAAAGAAAUCAACCGAGAUUCCCCCAGUAGCGGCGAGCGAACGGGGAGGAGCCCAGAGCCUGAAUCAGCAUGUGUGUUAGUGGAAGCGUCUGGAAAGGCGCGCGAUACAGGGUGACAGCCCCGUACACAAAAGCGCAUGUGCUGUGAGCUCGAUGAGUAGGGCGGGACACGUGGUAUCCUGUCUGAAUAUGGGGGGACCAUCCUCCAAGGCUAAAUACUCCUGACUGACCGAUAGUGAACCAGUACCGUGAGGGAAAGGCGAAAAGAACCCCGGCGAGGGGAGUGAAAAAGAACCUGAAACCGUGUACGUACAAGCAGUGGGAGCACCCUUCGGGGUGUGACUGCGUACCUUUUGUAUAAUGGGUCAGCGACUUAUAUUCUGUAGCAAGGUUAACCGUAUAGGGGAGCCGGAGGGAAACCGAGUCUUAACCGGGCGUUAAGUUGCAGGGUAUAGACCCGAAACCCGGUGAUCUAGCCAUGGGCAGGUUGAAGGUUGGGUAACACUAACUGGAGGACCGAACCGACUAAUGUUGAAAAAUUAGCGGAUGACCUGUGGCUGGGGGUGAAAGGCCAAUCAAACCGGGAGAUAGCUGGUUCUCCCCGAAAGCUAUUUAGGUAGCGCCUCGUGAAUUCAUCUCCGGGGGUAGAGCACUGUUUCGGCUAGGGGGCCAUCCCGGCUUACCAACCCGAUGCAAACUGCGAAUACCGGAGAAUGUUAUCACGGGAGACACACGGCGGGUGCUAACGUCCGUCGUGAAGAGGGAAACAACCCAGACCGCCAGCUAAGGUCCCAAAGUCAUGGUUAAGUGGGAAACGAUGUGGGAAGGCCCAGACAGCCAGGAUGUUGGCUUAGAAGCAGCCAUCAUUUAAAGAAAGCGUAAUAGCUCACUGGUCGAGUCGGCCUGCGCGGAAGAUGUAACGGGGCUAAACCAUGCACCGAAGCUGCGGCAGCGAACGUAUCACCCAAGACAACUUUACGGAGUUGACGAUUGACGGAGCGAAGCGACGUCAAAGCGUUCAUUAAAGUCGAGUUGGCUUAGGGAUACGUUCGUUGGGUAGGGGAGCGUUCUGUAAGCCUGUGAAGGUGUGUCGUGAGGCAUGCUGGAGGUAUCAGAAGUGCGAAUGCUGACAUAAGUAACGAUAAAGCGGGUGAAAAGCCCGCUCGCCGGAAGACCAAGGGUUCCUGUCCAACGUUAAUCGGGGCAGGGUGAGUCGACCCCUAAGGCGAGGCCGAAAGGCGUAGUCGAUGGGAAACGGGUUAAUAUUCCCGUACUUGGUGUUACUGCGAAGGGGGGACGGAGAAGGCUAUGUUGGCCGGGCGACGGUUGUCCCGGUUUAAGCGUGUAGGUGUGUGUUCCAGGUAAAUCCGGUUCACUUUAACACUGAGGCGUGACGACGAGGCACUACGGUGCUGAAGCAACAAAUGCCCUGCUUCCAGGAAAAGCCUCUAAGCAUCAGGUAACAUCAAAUCGUACCCCAAACCGACACAGGUGGUCAGGUAGAGAAUACCAAGGCGCUUGAGAGAACUCGGGUGAAGGAACUAGGCAAAAUGGUGCCGUAACUUCGGGAGAAGGCACGCUGACACGUAGGUGAAGUGAUUUACUCAUGGAGCUGAAGUCAGUCGAAGAUACCAGCUGGCUGCAACUGUUUAUUAAAAACACAGCACUGUGCAAACACGAAAGUGGACGUAUACGGUGUGACGCCUGCCCGGUGCCGGAAGGUUAAUUGAUGGGGUCAGCGCAAGCGAAGCUCCUGAUCGAAGCCCCGGUAAACGGCGGCCGUAACUAUAACGGUCCUAAGGUAGCGAAAUUCCUUGUCGGGUAAGUUCCGACCUGCACGAAUGGCGUAAUGAUGGCCAGGCUGUCUCCACCCGAGACUCAGUGAAAUUGAACUCGCUGUGAAGAUGCAGUGUACCCGCGGCAAGACGGAAAGACCCCGUGAACCUUUACUAUAGCUUGACACUGAACAUUGAGCCUUGAUGUGUAGGAUAGGUGGGAGGCUUUGAAGUGUGGACGCCAGUCUGCAUGGAGCCGACCUUGAAAUACCACCCUUUAAUGUUUGAUGUUCUAACGUGGACCCGUAAUCCGGGUUGCGGACAGUGUCUGGUGGGUAGUUUGACUGGGGCGGUCUCCUCCUAAAGAGUAACGGAGGAGCACGAAGGUUGGCUAAUCCUGGUCGGACAUCAGGAGGUUAGUGCAAUGGCAUAAGCCAGCUUGACUGCGAGCGUGACGGCGCGAGCAGGUGCGAAAGCAGGUCAUAGUGAUCCGGUGGUUCUGAAUGGAAGGGCCAUCGCUCAACGGAUAAAAGGUACUCCGGGGAUAACAGGCUGAUACCGCCCAAGAGUUCAUAUCGACGGCGGUGUUUGGCACCUCGAUGUCGGCUCAUCACAUCCUGGGGCUGAAGUAGGUCCCAAGGGUAUGGCUGUUCGCCAUUUAAAGUGGUACGCGAGCUGGGUUUAGAACGUCGUGAGACAGUUCGGUCCCUAUCUGCCGUGGGCGCUGGAGAACUGAGGGGGGCUGCUCCUAGUACGAGAGGACCGGAGUGGACGCAUCACUGGUGUUCGGGUUGUCAUGCCAAUGGCACUGCCCGGUAGCUAAAUGCGGAAGAGAUAAGUGCUGAAAGCAUCUAAGCACGAAACUUGCCCCGAGAUGAGUUCUCCCUGAGACUUAGAGUCUCCUGAAGGAACGUUGAAGACGACGACGUU
rnacentral:rRNA from 1 species